rnacentral:lncRNA from 1 species
GACUUGUAUUUUGAAAGAUAUGCAUAUUUGAAAAACAUGAGUCGACCCAUGAGUCGACUCAUGGCACAUGAGAUGUUUGGCACGCUGAAUUCUUGGUCGGCACAAAUUUGGCACACCUUGUGAGUCGACCCAUGAGUCGACCCCCAAGGCAUGAGUCGACCCAUGAGUCGACCUCUGCGGGUUUUAAGCCAAUUUUACAGAACCGUGCUUCCCCUCU